GCCACUGCUGUUGGGGUUCGGCUAAGCCAUGCGAGUGGAGGGCGCGGUCGAAAGAUCGUGGCCCCGCACACGGCUCAGUAACACGUAGUCAACCUAACCUAGGGUGGGGGACAACCUCGGGAAACUGAGGAUAAUCCCCCAUAGGCGGGGGAGGCUGGAAUGCGCCCCCGCUGAAAGCUCAGGCGCCCUAGGACGGGACGGCGGCCUAUCAGGUAGUUGGUGGUGUGACG
rnacentral:rRNA from 1 species